rnacentral:rRNA from 1 species
AUUGAACGCUGGCGGCAUGCUUUACACAUGCAAGUCGAACGGCAGCGCGGGCUUCGGCCUGGCGGCGAGUGGCGAACGGGUGAGUAAUGCAUCGGAACGUGCCCAGUAGUGGGGGAUAGCCCGGCGAAAGCCGGAUUAAUACCGCAUACGACCUGAGGGUGAAAGCGGGGGACCGAAAGGCCUCGCGCUAUUGGAGCGGCCGAUGUCGGAUUAGCUAGUUGGUGGGGUAAAGGCUUACCAAGGCGACGUUCCGUAGCUGGUCUGAGAGGACGACCAGCCACACUGGGACUGAGACACGGCCCAGACUCCUACGGGAGGCAGCAGUGGGGAAUUUUGGACAAUGGGGGCAACCCUGAUCCAGCCAUGCCGCGUGCGGGAAGAAGGCCUUCGGGUUGUAAACCGCUUUUGUUCGGGAAGAAAUCCUCUGGGCUAAUACCCCGGGGGGAUGACGGUACCGGAAGAAUAAGCACUGGCUAACUACGUG